ACCCCCGUAGCUCAGAGGAUAGAGCAACGGCCUCCGGAGCCGUGUGCGCAGGUUCGAAUCCUGCCGGGGGUG
rnacentral:tRNA from 1 species